CCUACGGGGGGCUGCAGUGGGGAAUAUUGGACAAUGGGGGGAACCCUGAUCCAGCCAUGCCGCGUGUGUGAAGAAGGUCCUCGGGUUGUAAAGCACUUUCAGUGAGGAAGAACGCCUGGUGGUUAAUACCCAUCAGGAAAGACAUCACUCACAGAAGAAGCACCGGCUAACUCCGUGUCAGUAGCCGCGGUAAUACGGAGGGUGCGAGCGUUAAUCGGAAUUACUGGGCGUAAAGCGCGCGUAGGUGGCUUGAUAAGCCGGUUGUGAAAGCCCCGGGCUCAACCUGGGAACGGCAUCCGGAACUGUCAAGCUAGAGUGCAGGAGAGGAAGGUAGAAUUCCCGGUGUAGCGGUGAAAUGCGUAGAGAUCGGGAGGAAUACCAGUGGCGAAGGCGGCCUUCUGGACUGACACUGACACUGAGGUGCGAAAGCGUGGGUAGCAAACAGGAUUAGAUACCCUGGUAGUC
rnacentral:rRNA from 1 species